UACGUAGGUCCCGAGCGUUGUCCGGAUUUAUUGGGCGUAAAGCGAGCGCAGGCGGUUAGAAAAGUCUGAAGUGAAAGGCAGUGGCUCAACCAUUGUAGGCUUUGGAAACUGUUUAACUUGAGUGCAGAAGGGGAGAGUGGAAUUCCAUGUGUAGCGGUGAAAUGCGUAGAUAUAUGGAGGAACACCGGUGGCGAAAGCGGCUCUCUGGUCUGUAACUGACGCUGAGGCUCGAAAGCGUGGGGAGCGAACA
rnacentral:rRNA from 1 species